CUUCAGCGAAGUGCAGGUACCUCAUCGCGGUGCUGAAGUCUAGUACCCCUUUGGGGGGAAGCCAAGACCUGC
rnacentral:ribozyme from 1 species